AGGGAAUAUCUAUUGAGUGUUUCUUUGCUGGAGUUUGUGGUGGUGGUUUGGUCACUCUUCCAAUUCAGCUGGGGAUAGGAUUCUUGAUGAGAGAGCGCCCAUUGUUUGCCCUUGCUACUGUCGCAACGGUUGUGGGAAUUUGGACUAUAUUUCCUUAUGCGGUGGCUGCUUCAACAACAUUAUUCCUUUACCUGCAACGCCAGUACUCUAGCUAGACAACACCUUAUACAAAUUUGUGGACUUCCUUGAAUAUAGACAAAAGAUAUCAUGAUAUAGAAUACAAAGAAAAUCAAACAUGGUUUAUAUCUUUGGGUGGUAUUGACAAUCACUUGUUAGAUAACCAUCCACUAUAGUUAUAGCUUUUAUAAUUUGGGAAAGCAAAGUUACUUUGAUUGGAUUUGAUCUCAUUUUAUGUUUAUGGCAAAGCCAAAACACAUCUUCACUAUGUGUCCGGUGUUACAUUUUCAAUAUCACACAAAUAUUUUCUAUAAAUUUUCACGUCUUAAGGGCAUAGCUGAAAGUGCAUUACAGAAAGAUAUAACUCUGGUUGUUGAGGGUUCGUUAGGAGUUGUCUUUACAGUGGCUGCAUUAACAGAUGAAGCAAUGGAUGUUGGUGAGGUAUUCAUUUUUUUUGCUAUAAGAUUUCUUCUAUAUAAUAAAGCAAGCAGUUCAUCUAAGGGCUGACUAGCUUGUCUUAUGUACCAGCUUCAAUCUCCGAGAUGUGAUUCUAAUCCAACUAUUAUUAAGUCUACCGGGAUAACAUCACAUCUCUGUCUCUCAAUGGUUGAUUCAUUUUGGUUGACCAUACUUGAUGCAUUGUCUCUUAUUUUGUCAAGGUCACAAGGAGAGGCUAUUGUGUUGGAAAUACUAAAGGGAUAUCAGGCAUUCACACAGGUAAUCAUUGUUAGACAUUUCAUCUCAGUAUAGGUUCUUGGUGUGGAAUUAUUUUCUGUAAAUGUCUAUUUGUUAUUAGAAAAAUAUAUACAUAUAUAGGUCUUGGAUGCAAUUGCAGCCGGAUAAUAAAUGGGUUCUAUCAUGCCACAUAAUAUAUUUUCUGUGCUAUAUAUGUCUGGCCAUAUAAGUUGUUGCAAGAUUUUUUCGGCUUAAACUAUUUCCUCUUUCUAACAUCCAGGCAUGUGGGGUUCUUCACGCCAUUGAACCUUUAAACUCCUUUUUAGCAUCACUUUGCAAGUUUACUAUAAAUUUUCCAAAUGAAGCAGAGAAAAGGAGGUACUGAAUUAUUUUGCAAGUUUAAUGUCAUUGAAAUUCUUAUGUUCA